UACGUAGGGGGCAAGCGUUGUCCGGAUUUAUUGGGCGUAAAGCGCGUGUAGGCGGCCACACAGGUCCGCUGUGAAAACUCGAGGCUCAACCUCGAGCUGUCGGUGGAAACCGUGUGGCUAGAGUCCGGAAGAGGAGACUGGAAUUCCCGGUGUAGCGGUGGAAUGCGCAGAUAUCGGGAGGAACACCCGUGGCGAAGGCGGGUCUCUGGGCCUUACC
rnacentral:rRNA from 1 species